CCCUUAGAUGUUCUGGGCCGCACGCGCGCUACACUGAUGAAUUCAACGAGUACCUAACCUAGGCCGAAGGGUCUGGGUAAUCUUUGAAAUUUCAUCGUGAUGGGGAUAGAUUAUUGCAAUUAUUAAUCUUCAACGAGGAAUUCCUAGUAAGCGCGAGUCAUCAGCUCGCGUUGAUUACGUCCCUGCCCUUUGUACACACCGCCCGUCGCUACUACCGAUUGGAUGGUUUAGCGAGAGCCUUGGAUUGGAGCCCAGGUGGUCGGCAACGGCCGCUCGGGAUUCCGAGAAAUUGUUCCAGCUGACUCAUCUAGAGGAAGUAAAAGUCGUAACA
rnacentral:rRNA from 1 species